rnacentral:rRNA from 1 species
GUGGGGAAUAUUGGACAAUGGGCGCAAGCCUGAUCCAGCCAUGCCGCGUGAGUGAUGAAGGCCCUAGGGUUGUAAAGCUCUUUCACCGGUGAAGAUAAUGACGGUAACCGGAGAAGAAGCCCCGGCUAACUUCGUGCCAGCAGCCGCGGUAAUACGAAGGGGGCUAGCGUUGUUCGGAAUUACUGGGCGUAAAGCGCACGUAGGCGGACAUUUAAGUCAGGGGUGAAAUCCCGGGGCUCAACCCCGGAACUGCCUUUGAUACUGGGUGUCUGGAGUAUGGAAGAGGUAAGUGGAAUUCCGAGUGUAGAGGUGAAAUUCGUAGAUAUUCGGAGGAACACCAGUGGCGAAGGCGGCUUACUGGUCCGGUACUGACGCUGAGGUGCGAAAGCGUGGGGAGCAAACAGGAUUAGAUACCCGAGUAGUCC